UACGUAGGGACCAAGCGUUGUUCGGAUUUACUGGGCGUAAAGGGCGCGUAGGCGGCGCGGUAAGUCACUUGUGAAAUCUCUGAGCUUAACUCAGAACGGCCAAGUGAUACUGCAGUGCUAGAGUGCAGAAAGGGCAAUCGGAAUUCUUGGUGUAGCGGUGAAAUGCGUAGAUAUCAAGAGGAACACCUGAGGCGAAAGGCGGGUUGCUAGGCUGACACUGACGUGAG
rnacentral:rRNA from 1 species